UGCCAGCAGCCGCGGUAAUACGGAGGGGGCUAGCGUUGCUCGGAAUUACUGGGCGUAAAGAGCACGUAGGCGGGUAUUCUAGUCAGGCGUGAAAGUCCCAGGCUCAACCUGGGAACUGCGUUUGAUACUGGAUACCUAGAGUCCGAGAGAGGGUGGUGGAAUUCCCAGUGUAGAGGUGAAAUUCGUAGAUAUUCGGAGGAACACCAGUGGCGAAGGCGGCUCACUGGCUCGAUACUGACGCUGAGGUGCGAAAGCGUGGGGAGCAAACAGGAUUAGAUA
rnacentral:rRNA from 1 species